UCUUUGACGUGUGUCCAUCAAAGAACAAGC
rnacentral:piRNA from 1 species